UGAUGUUAAUUGUCCCAUUAA
ensembl:piRNA 21ur-1735 ncRNA